GCAAGCCUGAUGCAGCCAUGCCGCGUGUGUGAAGAAGGCCUUCGGGUUGUAAAGCACUUUCAGCGGGGAGGAAGGCGAUAAGGUUAAUAACCUUGGCGAUUGACGUUACCCGCAGAAGAAGCACCGGCUAACUCCGUGCCAGCAGCCGCGGUAAUACGGAGGGUGCGAAAAGCGUUAAUCGGAUUACUGGGCGUAAAGCGCACGCAGGCGGUCUGUCAAGUCGGAUGUGAAAUCCCCGGGCUCAACCUGGGAACUGCAUUCGAAACUGGCAGGCUAGAGUCUUGUAGAGGGGGGUAGAAUUCCCAGGUGUAGCGGUGAAAUGCGUAGAGAUCUGGAGGAAUACCGGUGGCGAAGGCGGCCCCCUGGACAAAGACUGACGCUCAGGUGCGAAAGCGUGGGGAGCAAACAGGAUUAGAUACCCUGGUAGUCCACGCCGUAAACGAUGUCGAUUUGGAGGUUGUGCCCUUGAGGCGUGGCUUCCGGAGCUAACGCGUUAAAUCGACCGCCUGGGGAGUACGGCCGCAAGGUUAAAACUCAAAUGAAUUGACGGGGGCCCGCACAAGCGGUGGAGCAUGUGGUUUAAUUCGAUGCAACGCGAAGAACCUUACCUGGUCUUGACAUCCACAGAACUUUCCAGAGAUGGAUUGGUGCCUUCGGGAACUGUGAGACAGGUGCUGCAUGGCUGUCGUCAGCUCGUGUUGUGAAAUGUUGGGUUAAGUCCCGCAACGAGCGCAACCCUUAUCCUUUGUUGCCAGGCGGGUUCAGGGCCGGGAACUCAAAGGAGACUGCCAGUGAUAAACUGGAGGAAGGUGGGGAUGACGUCAAGUCAUCAUGGCCCUUACGACCAGGGCUACACACGUGCUACAAUGGCAUAUACAAAGAGAAGCGACCUCGCGAGAGCAAGCGGACCUCAUAAAGUAUGUCGUAGUCCGGAUUGGAGUCUGCAACUCGACUCCAUGAAGUCGGAAUCGCUAGUAAUCGUAGAUCAGAAUGCUACGGUGAAUACGUUCCCGGGCCUUGUACACACCGCCCG
rnacentral:rRNA from 1 species